rnacentral:lncRNA from 1 species
UAUAAAUCUUGCAGCCCAAGAAUUUUUUACAGCAGAUCUGUUAUGGUUGAGGUUUGCCGCGUGUCGUAGACAGAAAAUUAUCAUCCACAUGAACCGGCACGCUCUCAACGACCGCCCAGGCAUUCUGUACAGGUGGUUCACAAG